AAAACAUUUCAACAGACUGUACCACAACACCAGGGACUGCACUGUACCUACCUUUUAUAAAAGAUGUGCUCGUCUGCUGACUCAACUGGCCAACAGCCCUCGCUGCACGGAGAGAUAAACAGACUGAGAGACGCCUCUGACAGACGGGCAGUGUUGCCGUGACAACGAGGAGGGCAGGGCAUCCUAACGAGGUUCAUUUCCUAACGAGCGGCAGAAGUUUUCACAGCCAAUAGAAACUCCUCCUGAGGUCGUGUCCUGCAGCCAAUGAGCUGAGCCGACUGAUCAGAGUGCACUGUUUUCUGUUCUACUCCAUUCUUUCACUUUCCUCCCGUUCCUUCUGGAUUCUCCUUCUUCUCCACUCGGCUUCUUCUUUCCACUGUUUGUCUCAGCUCCAGAGCAUUUGUACAUUGUCUGUCAAGAUCAACGAGAUCAUAAGAUUUUACAGCAUGUAAGUUAGUAAACAGUGAUGUAAUCAGUUCAUAACACAACAUCGUGUAAGAGAAGAUGUUUACCUUGAGUUAUUGGACGCGUGCUGAUCAGUCUGUUUCUACUUUCCUCCGUGCAAUAGGUAAACUGACCUCUGACCAGAUGUGCUGAGGUUUUAGUGAACAAUGGCUCUGUUAAUUCACUGAGAGCUUCACAAUAAAAGCCUCCAGCUAGUUAGAAAAGUGUAUAUAAGCUUGAUGAGUGAAGCAGCAGCAGCAGGAAACAGUGAAAUAAGGCUUUAAAGAAACUAAACCAAACACAGAGACUCAGGUAAAAUCCUAAACAGAGUUUUCUCUGUUCAGUUACCAGCACAAACACGUUGAGACGUCAGACUGAGAGAGAGGCUCUGCUCCGAUGGAGGAGACUGUCUCAGGUUGUCCUCACUCAGGCCUGAUACCAAGCAGCAUCACAACAGUGUGACUUGGCACAGCUGCCAGGCCUGCGGGAGAAACAACCUAAACUACACGACUCUUCUUCACCAAACUUAAACCUGCAACAACUGAUUGUCAACUUGUUUUCAGCAGAAACAAGUUGAGGACACAUCAUCAGCUUUUUAAAUUGGUAUAAGUUCAGUGUUCCCUCUCUCUCUUUUAGCUCAGUGUUUGGUCUCCACCUUCUCCUGAGGGAAACAUCUGGCUCUUUAGCUGCUAAAUGCUGCACCAGCUGUUCUGCCUGUGUCUGUCUGCUGGACCGUGGCUUUUUUACAGAGAGUGACCUGAAACAGUGAAGUUGUGUCUGGACUUCUUCUUCUAUUCUAUUCUAUUCUAUUCUAAUGUCCUCUACAACCCAUCCACUAUGCUGUGCCUCUAAAUCCAGUCUACACAACCAGACUCACCUCAGCUGUGUUCUGCUGUAUUCUACCGGACUCUACUUGGCUGAACGCGCUGGCAGGAAACUGAUCUUCAGCCUCUCACGUUCAGACUGAGCAAAAAGUGGAUUUCUAUUUUUCCUCUGGAUGAUGAUUCUACUGGUUUCUAAUGGAGCUGCAGGAGUUUUGUCUGGAAAACGAGGAGCUGGAACGAGUUGUGUCGCUGCUCUGAAAUCAAGAGAAAUGUUUUUAAAGCUUUUUGUUUGCCCUCAGAGACUUUGCCACGGGAUGGAUGUCUUCUUCCUGCUCUUGCAGAACAACAGUGUUUUGGUUUUUGUGUAAUUUUGGACGAUGGACGCCUAAAUUAUAUUUUACCUUCCGUUUGAAGCCAUAGGAGGAACUACAGGGACAAAUCCUCCGGUUGGACCACAGCUAACUGUUCUGUCAUCCUGUGGGACAGAAACGUCCGAGAUGCUGAAUGUGUUUUAUGUUACAUGAUGCAUAAUAAUAAUAAUAAUAAUAAU